UGUUUCCUACGGGACGCAGCAGUGGGGAAUAUUGCACAAUGGGGGAAACCCUGAUGCAGCGAUGCCGCGUGGAGGAAGAAGGUUUUCGGAUUGUAAACUCCUUUUAUCAGGGACGAUAAUGACGGUACCUGAAGAAAAAGCUCCGGCUAACUACGUGCCAGCAGCCGCGGUAAUACGUAGGGAGGGAGCGUUGUCCGGAAUUACUGGGUGUAAAGGGAGCGUAGGCGGGACGGCAAGUCAGAUGUGAAAACUGAGGGCGCAACCUUCAGACUGCAUUUGAAACUGCUGUUCUUGAGUGAAGUAGG
rnacentral:rRNA from 1 species